AUGGCGAGUUCGUGACCACGUGUUGAAUGGCGGUAGGAAGACAUUCUUUAACGGUGGAAAUCGUACCUCCUCUCCUUUUUCACAAGUUUCGACCAGAUAUCGCUUCAGCAACGUGUUUUCCUUCCUUUGCAUUAUUGGUGAUCUUGGUCGGAAUUGGCUGAGGAUCGCCGGAUGUAAUUCGUGAGCUGCCGAUUGUAUCUGAACGUCGGUUGUUCCCACAGCCGAAGGCCUACGCGGUUCGGAAACGCCAAGGAACUUGUGUAGGCCUUCAAUGCACCGUCGGCUAUGCCCGUAUAAGCAAAUGACGACAAAAAGAAGGGUGACGAUAUAUACGAAAAAUGAAUGGCGAAUUUUUAUUAGUAGCCCUCAUGACCAUACUCCCGACCGAUAAUGACCGGUUGGAUCACACACAAACCGGAGAAGAAAGGAAAAGGAAAAAAAAAGUGGCUGCCGCGGACUGAGAGUGGUCCAUCAAAUUUGUGUUACAACCCAUUCGGAUCGAGAGGUGAUGGCACUUUCGGACGACACAAACCAGAAGAAGAAGAAAAAAAAAAAAACUGCUUUUUCCUAACACGGCACACACAGUCGUCGGGAAAAAAGACACACGGCACACACACACACAGCCGUCUAAAACUACUACCGAGAGUGUAGAAGAUGAAAAAGAAAGGAAAUAAAACAACCUGCUGCUGUUUUUCCAGACGAAGAUGAGAUAUUAUUGGCCAUCAAGAAAGCAAUAAUCUUAAGCGACAGGUGCUCCGCCGCUUCAGCUGCGAGACGAAACGCAUUCCGACAGUAAUGUGUGUGCCUUUUCUCUUCUUUUUUUCUCUCGUAUUCUGUGGCAUAAAGGAGAAAAAAGAAACAAGGGGAUUUGAUUAUUAUGAUUAAGAAUGUGAUACGAGAAGAGAGAAGGGAAAAAAAAAGGAGUUCGUUAUCGCGCAGUCUGAUCAACACAUGAAAAUGGACGCUGAUUCGCGGCCCUGCGAAUCUACAGUACAGCGCGAAGGUUCUCCUUUUCUCCAUAUCUUGUGACGAUGAUGCGUUUCGAUCCGAUCGUGGAGAGACAAGAAGAAAGAAACGAGUUUCAUCAUGACGCUGGCGCGUUUCGAUGAUGGAGUAUAAUUGGUCAUUCUUCUUUAAUCGAGCUCGUCUUUUCGUGAUGGCUCUUCUCUACCCUGCGUGUGUCUGUGUGUAAGUUAACUAUACGUAUGCUUCUUCUUCUUCCUCUCAUUUUUUCAAAUUUAUUUUUACGAUCGACCGUGCGCCUAGCGGAAAGAAACGACAGCAAAUCACCAUUGGCGCACCUUAUUUUCUUCCUAUUUAUAUUCCAAGUAUGUACACCAUCUGGGAAUUUCGAUCAUUGGUGAAAAGGUUGAUAAUUAUUGGGUGGUGGUGUAUACCUUUUGCGGCGCAUCAAAAGAGAGGAAAUAAGUUGGAAAAAAGAAAUUGUGGUGUUUGGUUGUCGCCCCCUUUAUCUUUCCUCUUUUUUUUUUUUUUUUUUGCUCUUAACUCUUCGAGCUUGUGUAUACGUGCGUACGUAUUACUCCCUCCCUGCUUGUCUCUGGGUAUAAAGUUAAUAACUUACAACUAGUAAAAGUUGCUGCUUGUUGUUUAUAUUAGAGAUAGCUAAAGGGUAUAAACCGUGCCUGUGCUGCGCGUAUGUGUUUGAUUGGUUGAUAGGGAAGGUCUCUCUCUCUCUUUCUCUCUCUCCACUUACUUCACUCCCAAGGUCCGUCCGGUUGUCUGGGUGGGGCUCUCUCCCGACGGCCCUUUCUUCUACUAAACAAAAGACGUGACGUUCGCAGAUAGUUCAACAUUUCUCCGCUAGUCGUGAGGAUGGCAGCACCUGUCGGGCCAGCCCAUUAUUUAUUUAUUUUUUGCUUGGUGCCAAUGCAGCUUUAUAUAGACUAAAUAGAUUUGGUUUUCGUACAGUUUUCUGUUUCUCAUUUUUUUUUUUCGCCUCGUUUUAUGGUCUUAACGGCUCUCAUCACGACGGCUAUGGCAUGUUACGCGACACUUGAGCCUUGGCUAUGUUUGUAUGUCCAGAGCCAAAAAAGUAAAUCAAGUCACGAAAUAAAAAAAGAAAGAAAGAAUAGAAGAACCCAAAAAAAAAAAAAAGAAAAAUGGUUGGCGACUGCGUCAGGGAAUUUUUCGUUCACUUGAGCGUCGCCGGCGUCUACGAUGGGAAAACAAAAAGCUGCAACAAAUGGACACAAAAAGGAGACGAACGGUAACAAAACAACGGAAAGCAGGAAUUAUACAUCAGAAAGAAAAUGAUGAUUACCUCCUAUUUAAACGUAGUAUAACUCUAGAAGUAAUAUAUAAAAUGUAUUGUUGUAUUAUUGUUGCGUUAUAAAAGCGAGUCGAAAACGAAAA
rnacentral:misc_RNA from 1 species